rfam:Schistosoma rodhaini strain Burundi genome assembly, scaffold: SROB_scaffold0020124
AUCCAUCCGACGAGUUGCAAAUAGGACGAAACGCGCGUCCUGGAU